GACGAACGCUGGCGGCGUGCUUAACACAUGCAAGUCGUACGGAAAGGCCCUGCUUUUGUGGGGUGCUCGAGUGGCGAACGGGUGAGUAACACGUGAGUAACCUGCCCUUGACUUUGGGAUAACUUCAGGAAACUGGGGCUAAUACCGGAUAGGAGCUCCUGAUGCAUGUUGGGGGUUGGAAAGUUUCGGCGGUUGGGGAUGGACUCGCGGCUUAUCAGCUUGUUGGUGGGGUAGUGGCUUACCAAGGUUUUGACGGGUAGCCGGCCUGAGAGGGUGACCGGCCACAUUGGGACUGAGAGACGGCCCAGACUCCUACGGGAGGCAGCAGUGGGGAAUAUUGCACAAUGGGCGGAAGCCUGAUGCAGCAACGCCGCGUGCGGGAUGACGGCCUUCGGGUUGUAAACCGCUUUCGCCUGUGACGAAGCGUGAGUGACGGUAAUGGGUAAAGAAGCACCGGCUAACUACGUG
rnacentral:rRNA from 1 species